UAUUGUACCUACAAAUUUUAACGUUCAUUUCAUGUUUUAUGUUGUUUAAAGCAGGGGGAGAAAGCAUUAACAAAAAAUCAAUUGCUGACCUUGGAGUAUGAAAUCAAUACAUGCAAUUAAGUAAUUAUUAAAAUGUACGUACUUGGACGGAUACGAAAGAUGUCAUUAAAGUUAAAUGAUCUUUUUUCUUGAUAGCUGUUUUGACUUAAGCAGCGGCGGCUCGUGAAUUAAACAAGUGUCAACUCAAGAAACCAAACGAAGAAAAACUCAGUCCGGAUCAAUAUAUCUGUAUUUAAGUUGGUUUACAAUUUUCUGGAAUUAUUUUGCGUGUGUAAGCAGUUUUGGCGACGAUAAUUAAACGUGAACUAAAGUGAAGGAAACGGA